GAUGAACGCUGGCGGCGUGCCUAAUACAUGCAGGUCGAGCGAACGGACGAGAAGCUUGCUUCUCUGAUGUUAGCGGCGGACGGGUGAGUAACACGUGGAUAACCUACCUAUAAGACUGGGAUAACUUCGGGAAACCGGAGCUAAUACCGGAUAAUAUUUUGAACCGCAUGGUUCAAAAGUGAAAGACGGUCUUGCUGUCACUUAUAGAUGGAUCCGCGCUGCAUUAGCUAGUUGGUAGGUAACGGCUUACCAAGGCAACGAUGCAUAGCCGACCUGAGAGGGUGAUCGGCCACACUGGAACUGAGACACGGUCCAGACUCCUACGGGAGGCAGCAGUAGGGAAUCUUCCGCAAUGGGCGAAAGCCUGACGGAGCAACGCCGCGUGAGUGAUGAAGGUCUUCGGAUCGUAAAACUCUGUUAUUAGGGAAGAACAUAUGUGUAAGUAACUGUGCACAUCUUGACGGUACCUAAUCAGAAAGCCACGGCUAACUACGUG
rnacentral:rRNA from 1 species